UAUCCUCUAACGGCCGCCACUUGAGAAAUUCUAAUUUUGUACUUAGUUCGAUCGAAUGAUGGAAGGAUUCAAUCCAAAGAAAUUUUCAUUGCAGAAACAGUAUCAGAAUGAUGGAAGGAUUCAUAUACAAUGUAAAUAUUAUUGAUACAGUACAUGUUUACAAUGUUUUAUAUAGAAGUGUUUCCAGGAGAAGAAAGAAGUUGAGCAUGAAGAAGCAGACAGUUUCAAUUUAACUAGAGAUAAAUAGAGAUAAUGUCAAUGAACGGAGAUGGAUGAGAUUAGAGUUGCACAAGAGAAAGAAUAAUGUCAAUUAUUAGAAGUUUAUAAACUUGUCUGGUAUAUUAUGUUUUCAUAUUAUAUUUUUAUGUAAUUGAAAAUAUGUAAUAUAUAAGAUAUU